rnacentral:piRNA from 1 species
UGAAAGAUUUGCCCACAGUUCUGAU